rnacentral:lncRNA from 1 species
UUUUUUUUUUUGAGGGUGAUGGGAUGAGGUGCAUAGGAGAAUUGUGGUCAAUUUUUCUAUCAAGUUGAGGUCCAAAGUGACCAAUUUGUUGAUGUUUAUGCCUUGUGAGGGUGGAUGAGGCUGAUGAUUCAUCAUCUCCGACAAGGACAGAUUCAUUCAUAAUUUCAUAUGUCCAGAUUGGGAGGAAGGUAAUGAAGUGAGAAGGGAUAAAGUUCCCAGCACUGGUUUUCCUUUUUAGUUGGUUAUUGGUCUACUUUGUACCUAAACAAAAAAAAAUAAAUUAAUCUUGUUUACACUAUCAUCGUUAAAUGUAUGACACGUGUGUCAUUCAUUCAACCGUGAUAGUAUAUACACUGAUAAUGUAUAUAAGAUUUACUCAAAAAAAAAAUAAAGGAGAAUGAUAGCCAAAAAUUUUAGUUGAUACAUUUUUUUGCGUUUAAUACGAUUUUCAAGAAUUGAUUCUUUUAUUCGGUGUCCUAAGGACAUAAAAUAACGUGGGCUUUAUUUAAUUGCACUUACAUAGGUAUUUUUUCAAUUGUAACGUAGUUGAUAAUGCUAGAAUUUAACAGUGGGAUCAAUCCUCCUUUUUGGAUGCUUAUCAUGCGCCUCUUGGAGAUAUAACCAAAAAACCUGUCAAGAAUCAUUUUCUAUUGUUCAACAUUCUGAAGCUAAUUUGGUCAAAACAAAAGAAAAAGAACAUUCUGAAACUAAUAACAUGAUGGACUAAUCUAGAUAAUUGACCCAUAGAUGGCCAAAAUGUGAUUGCUAAUGUCACAGUUUCUAUUUUAUUUUUUUUUGUGUUUUUUUAAUAUAUAUUUUGGAGGUUGGGCUUCUGAUUGUAGUUGCAUGCAACAGGUUCAUCUUCCCUAAUGUUGGUCUCCUACUUUCAUGGGACAAAUCCAACAAGAAAAUUUGCCGACAAACCCCAAAAAAAAAAAAAACUAAGCAAAACCCAUGCUUUCAUAAGCCGCAGAUCAACUCAAUGGAAUCAAAUGUACUUAUAAUAGUUCUGAAAAACCAAUACGACUUUCAUAAUGUAUUGUACUGAUUAUUAUACUGAUUUUGAUUAGAAAGUAAUUAGCAGUAUAAUUCAAGACUGGAGAGUGAAGACUGGGUGGCAGCGGCCAAGUUGAGCUGUUAAGACUAGGGGUGGCAACUCGGGUCCAAAUCAGGUUGGCGGGUCAGGUUUGACCCGCUCCGUCAGAAAAUCUGUUGAUCUGAACCCAACCCGUGACGGGUCAGGUAUACUGACCCGAACUCGAAAAUUUCAGGUUGACGGGUUGGCGGGUCGACCCGAAAUGACCCGAAACUUAAUUUUAAUUUAUUAAUUUAUCACUGUAAUUUCUAAUAAAAUUAAUUUCUCACAAAACUAAUUACAUAAUCAAGUAAUAAAAAUUUAAAUAAAUAAUUCUAAACCAAAUCUAAAAUAAAUUAAACACCGUAAAAGUGUUUUAUCCCAAACAAAAUAUAAAAUAAAUUAAAACAGUAUAAAAGUAAAAAAUAAUAUAAUAUAUUAUUUGUCCAAAUAUAAUAAUUUUAAUUUCACACAAAUUAAAUAAAUUCAUUUAGGAUUAAGUAAUUAAUACCUUUGAAAAAAAGAAUAACUUAGUUUAGUUAGGUAAAAUUAUUUUUAUGUUUAUUAAAUUAUUUUUAAUUCAUAAACGGGUCAUAUCGGGUCAUAUCAGGUCACCACGGGUUGACCCGAAAUCGACCUUUUUCUUUUCGGAUUCAUUGGGUUCAACCCGAUUCUGACCCGAAUUCCCGAAACCUCAACCCAAAUCCAUUAAUUUCGUGUUAGAUUCGUGUCGUGUUUUCAGGUCGUGUCGAAAUUUGCCACCCCUAGUUAAGACCAGUAAUAACUAAUAAGUCAUAUUAUCAAAAUUAUAGUAAACUAAAAUAUUAGGUCUGGUUUGGAUUACUAUUUUCUAAAAUUUUUAUAAAAAAAAUAUACUAUAGCGAUUUGAUAUAUACGAGAUAAAAUAAUAAUUAAAAAAUUUAUUCACAAAAAACUCCAAAAAAAUUUUAAAUGAAAAUGGCUUUUUUUUUUUGUCAAACAACAAACUUUUUGUUGUUAAAGAAACAACGCGCAAAUUCUGCGUUGCUUCAUUUGCAACUUUGCCGGCGGGGGCCUAUUUUCGUAUUAGACUGGCUACAUAUGAGCGUGACUUCUUUACGUUGACGCAUGAGUUAGUUAAGGCACUAUUUGAGAUUUGACCGGGUCUUCAACGUUGUACACAACCUUGGACCUGGUACGGUAGUGGACUGUCCCAAAAGUCUUUCCUUUUUAAUUUUAAGGGGUUUUAUUUUUAAAAUCACUCAUAUGAAGACCAAAUAAAUUGUUUUUGGCCAAUCUGCGUGUACAUGAACGGUGGCGGACUAACCGAUCAUUUUGUCUCGUAAAAACCAUGCCCAAAUUUCUAUGAAAAUGGUAGUAAUUAGGUUGUGAAUAUAUCACAUGAGACUAAAGUUGAUAUUUAUAUUUAAAUUUUUGAAAACCCGAAUUAUGUUACACGAGAGAGGAUAAUUUAAAAGAAAAAUUGUUCGAAACGUCCCUUACAUUUAAUUAAAUGAAUUUUUCUAUCAUCCAUUUUUAAAAUGUUAACUUUAUAUCCCGUACAAAUUUGAGUUAGUAAAAACUCGUUUCAACAUAAGUUUUUGACCACUUUUAGUUUGAAAUUACUAUGUGAUACACUUUUAGUUUUCACUUUUUUAGUGAUAAAAAUAAAUAUAAAUUUGAUCAAAUUUCACUUUUUUUUUUAAUGAAAAAACGAAUAUGGUUUGAGUCAGAUCCUACUUUUUAAAGAAAAAAAAAAAGAAUGUGGGUCAUGUAAUGACUACAAAUGAGAUUUAACAUUUUUGUCCCUAAGAAAGUAAUUAUAUGUGGGUCAUGUAAUGGAUUUAGGAUAAAAGGUGGCUGAAAAUCUAAGUUAUGACUAAUUUUUAUAUACUUGAUCUUGUAAAAAAUAUAAAGUUGUCAUUUUAAAAGUGGUGGUUGAAAAUUUUCAUUUGACAAAAUAUGAUGAAUGUUUUAAAUGAUUUUCUCCAAUUUAAAUUCGUAGGGGCCGCCGCUACUAGCUUGGACCAGCGUGAGAUGCAUUUCUUUGCUUUUGUUUACAUUCAUGAUUCUUGAGAUGAAAAGGAAAAAAGAAAAAAUAUUCAAGUGCCAGCCUCACAAAGAUGAGACACACGGUGAUUCGAGUGUCAACCUUGCAAAACAUCAAUCCCUUGAGAAGUAGCAGUCAGUCUGGUUGAUCUUUUAUGUCCGACUGUAGAAGCAUAGCCAUACCUAAGGCCAUUGAUAAAUGAUGGGGAUAAUUUCAGAAACCUCCUUUGAGGUUUGUCAUAAUAUCACUCAAUUUUCUGGAAGUUUUUAAAAUUUCACUUACCUCCCUUAUCAACUUGAUAAGACUAAAUAUUCCUAACAAUGGUUACAAAUUGAUUACAUUACUCUUGCUCUUAAUAACUAUUUAACUAAUAAGCCAAAACAAAAUAAAAUUUAAAAACAAAAAAUGUAAAUUAAAAAAUAAAUUGCCAGCUAAUAAUGAUCCAUAUUUCUUUAUGUUAGGGUCGUGGUAGGAUAGCAAAGGACGUGGAUAAAUUAAACCUAAUCAAGGUCAACCACUUUGGGGGAUUUUGGUGAAUAAUUAAUAUCUUAAAAAAAUUUCGUACACAGUUAAAUUACAAUUAAGGAAGUCAAGAUAUUUUUUGAAAAAAUAUGUUUUAAUUGAUGGUGUAGUUUAAAUUGUAUUGUGCAUACGUGUGAAUUUUUCAAGGUGUAAAUUUUGCUUUUGUUUUAAUACAACUAAAAUAAAUAGUUUACGUAAAGAAAUUUACACCUUCAAAAAGUUUAACCUUAUUUUAUUUUUUAUUAUUGUUACAAAUUUCAUAAGUAGGAUAACAUAAGGGUAGUAUUGGAACAAAAGUUUUAUUUUCCUUGUAUUUCCUCCAAAGGGGUUAAAAUGUUACAAGAAAUGUCAAUCCAAAGGAGGUAAGUGAGAUUUUAAAAACCUCAGGAGCAUUGAGUGAUAUUAUGAGAAAUCUCGAAAAAGGUUUCUGAAAUUAUCCCUAAAUGAUGUCCAUAAACUACAAGAAGGAUAAACUACAAAACUAGAGGCUAAUUGUGAAGUACAUUUCUCAUAAACCUAGUUAUGUUUAUUUGCAUUAUAUCUGUGAGCCUUGAUGUAGAUUGGAAUGCAUAUACUCCUACUUGGCAUUUGGGCUUUGGCAGGCAUAUGACCAGUAGAGUCCCCAACCAGCAAGAGCCUUGAUCAAACAAAUAAAAUAAAAUAAAAAUUACCAAAUGCAAAUUUCAUUGUCACGUUGCUGCCAAAAGCAAGGUCAAACCAAAAAUGGAAAAAAAAAGGAUCAUUGACAAGACUUUCAUCGUAAUCAAACUGAUAUAAAGAACUUGGAAAGCGAUAAAAUGGGUCGGCACAGAUUGAAUGGCGUAACACUUUCAUAAUUUGAUGUAUAACAGGAUCGGCAUAGACUGAAUGAUAUAGCACCUUUUAUAAUUUGAUGUAUAAAAUGCUGUCUGAAAAAGUUAAAAAGUGAUUGAAUAUUAUGCUUAUGAUGGAACAAUUUUUUUUUCCUCGCUUUGCUCCCACGCUCAAAUUAACUUCAUCCUGCAAAAUGCUCCUAGCAAGUAAAGGGGGCAAAACUAAUCCUUGCAAGGAUUAGCUGACUGAAUUAGCUAGGACAGAGAUGAGGGUAGUAUUCCCUUUUUGUAACUAAUCCUUGUAAGGUCAAGUGUUAAUAUCUAUAACAUGAUAUCGUUUGUUGAAAAAAAAAAAAAAGUAAAGGGGGCAAAACAGAACACUACAUCUUGUAUUUUUCUUCUCUCUUCUUGUUCCGUCAAUCAUUUGUCCAACAACUUUGCAACCCUUUCUUUUCUUUUCUUUUUUUUGUCAAUAAUUUGAGUGAAGCAAAGGAAAAUGAGCAAAACAGUUCUGUUUCUCUUGAAAAAGACUUAUUUUAAUGCUAGGUGGUCUAGUAAAUGAAGCACAUGUAUAUAACGUUAUAUAUAUAAAAUUGCUAUCUUGUAUGCGCAAGAUUUAUCACACAAAAACCAAUUACAUUGGCAUGUAACACAGCAGUUAAAUUCUACUUUUUAGCCACUCUCAGCCGCAUCAUCCUUAGAUCUGAAGGCACAUUUGACUUUCACGGAUCACUUACUUUAGCAAAGCAAGCAUGCAUGGAUGAUCAACCAGAGGAAUAUGCAGAAAUCAAGGCAGUCAAGCAGAGACAAGAUUCACUCAGUCAAGAUAACUGUCCAUUGACAUAAGCAAGUUGGAUACAUUUACUCACAUAUGAGAAAUAUCUAUAAGUUUACAUGUCCUUUCCUUCUAUUACAAAGUCUUAUUAUGACAAAUCCAAUUAGAAGAAGGUACCCUCAGGAGGUUGAACAAGCUUGCGGUUAUGCGGAGCUGCCAUUUCCCUCCUCAGCUGAGUCAGUAUGUCUUCCAUAGUGAACUCGCGCUGCCAAUUUGUCAGCAUGCCAAACUUCUUUCCUUCAACCUGUUACAGAUUAAUCUGUCAAAAUCAUGGUAAUUACACAUCAUAGCUCCCUUUCACAACCACACAAACAGACCAAUAAAUUUGCUAAAAAGACUCCUAUGGAAUGUAAUCACACCAAGGAUCUGUAAAAUGAUAGUACAAGGAAAAGUUUGACUUGCACACAAGUAGUGAUUCUAGAUCCUCCUUUUGGGACGCUCCAACAUUCAAUUCUGAAUCUAAACGAAUAAUAGUUUCUACUUACCAAAUCAUCUAAAUUGUCCAAACGCAUUAAGCACAAGAUCUAAAUCUCUAAAGGACCUCUUGUCUAGAGAUAUAUCAAGGGACAAUUAAGCUAUCUUUUCAGGAUUGUAAGCAUUCCAUUGAGCCUAAGAUCACUAUCCCUCUACACAGGGAAUCACUUCGUUAAACAUAGAAGAUUCCCAGGGCUAUAAUGGGGCUCUGGUCUGUAUCAUCUUAUGAAACUUUUAGCUCAAACAGAAGUUUAUCAAACAAUGUAAAAAGGCAAAAUGGUAAUGAACCAAUACUGUCACACAAUGCUAGCAUUACCACUCCCGUCUCAGGAUUCACACAAGUCAUGUUGACGCGGGAAUGGAAACGAACACUUGGAGGCUUGUCCGGAUAGUCUUUGUCACAGAAGAGUUUCAGUUGAUAAAUACGGCCUUCAUGCACAGUCUGGAAAAUGACAAAGCAUAUAAUUGAGACAAAUUACAUCAAAAAGUGCAUAAAGCUCUAAAACUCUAAUACUUUGCAUGUUGAGCUUUAGACUUUCGACUCCUUGCAUCCAAGCUUCUGGAUAUAGUGUUUGAACUGUGUAGAUCUAUAUUACAUACAGUUAUGCAUAAAGUACAUUUUCUCCAGUUUGUACACGGACAAAUCUGUACCCUCUUCUCCUAUAUUGUAUUAACAUGACAACAGUUAACACUAACUACCAUGCAGAAAUGGAAGCUACAUGCCACCAACAAUUUAAUGUGUCACCCACCCCAAACUACGUUAUUGAAUAAACUAGAAGCACACAUCACCAAAACUUGUACAGGGUGUUGAGUGCAAACAUGUAUGAUAGCAUUAGAUUGGAAGUAUGGUUAUGGCCACAUCAUCCAAAAAUCAAAUUACACAUAAGUUUGCAAGAUCUGUGAGUCAAUGCCCACUUACCACAAAGAUAAUUUCAAGGAAUGAGUUGUUCAACAAGUACAGUUUAUGUAUCUGACAACUGACAAGUGAAGUACAUUUUGAAAAUAUGGUACUGCGGCCUCCUAAAAAGUUUGGCGAAUUAAGGCUUUCAGAUUUGAUGCAGUCUGGAAAAUGUAACAGGAGUAGCUCUUGCUGCUUCAAGGAGCACUACUUCACAUCUCAUAGGCAAAAUGUCCUAUUCUCUACUCUUUGGUUACUUUCACCAAAUGAAACGCCAGCAGUUGCUAAAUCGUUACUUGGUCCAGAAUGUUCCAUACAACAAAAAGUGAAAUAAUGUCAAAUCUACCUUCACUUUCUCCUUGAUAUACAGGCCAAGAUGUUGUCUAGUUUCUCCUUUGCCUAUUACUGUUUUCAAGUCUCCUUUAAUAAUGCUAAGUCAAAUUUGGGCAUUCAAUUUGAGAAGGCAGAAGGAUAUCUUUAGGGCACAUCAAAACUGCAACAAUUUGACUUCUGCUUUAACAACCCACAGCUUCAAUGCAUAUAAUCUAUUUUUCCCUCUUUUAACCGAUAUCAACAAGCUGCAAAAUAAUUCCUCAAAGCAACAAUGUAGCAGAAGGAUUUUAAUGACUAACACUGAAAAUACAUGAUCAAGGAAGUGAAGUCACGAUUCAUGGUCCAUUGCUAUCAAACAAAUAUAAAAUAAAAAAUAAAAAGAGGAUACUCACACUACAAAAUUGAGUGGUAGACAAUCAAGGUGCAUAACAGUAAAGAAGAUUGGUUGACAGGAAGUCAUACUUUUGUCCCCGACCUUUAUUGCCAUUAAUGAUACAACAAGCUUACACAAUGCACUUACAUUAUGUGGACCAAUUAUGGUGCCGGUCCAAGAACGCAUAUAUAUGUCAUCAGCAUCAUCCAUUCCAUAGCUGACAGAACCAUCUCCAAUACCCUUCUCCCCACGUUCAAGUUCCUCCAACAGCCUGAAGUUUCGAGGAACUGUAGACAAAUAAAAAUGUGUCAUACCAUAAAAGCAACAAAUUCAACGUGAUCAAAUUGACAUGGUCCUGAAAAAGCAGUGUCAUCUUUCAAAACCAGCAAAAAACACACAUCAGUCCUAAAGCCACGAAGACUUCAAACUUUAUCCAAUGCAUAGCAACCAUCCCACUAUUCAUUAAGCAAGCGACAUAUGGAAAUUUCAGCAAAGAUCUGUUGGAUCUGACUCUAGUAAGUAUGUAAUACCACAAACCAGGACACUUUAUCCGAACAAUGAAGUAAACACAAAUAACCUCAAGCCUACAUCAACUUUAUUUCUACCAGCAAAUAGAAUUCAACAGUUCUAAUUCAAUUAAAGAUGUUGAUGCAUGUAAACAAAUCUCACAGAUGUUUAAAUAGAAGCAGAUAAUAUUCAUGGCCAAAAAUGAGUUCAAUCGGAAGAACUGUGAGACAAUCCAAAUAAAUCAGUAGGAUGAAACAUGUAUUUUAAACAUAGAACACAAAAUAUUUCUUGAACAGGUACUAUCUUAUGAGUGUUCUGUGCAGUACCUAAAAGACAAUAUCCUUAAUCCUAAUGGCCCAAACUAGAUUCUUCUCUUUAUGCACACUAGGUUGUCGAUGUACUAGUUUUAUACAGGUAAGUUUGCCAUGAAAAUGCAAAUGGACAUUAAAAUCCAAUGGACCCCACAAAAUUUAUCUCUCUCACUUUGCAUAGGUAAUAUCCAGCAAAAGAAUCAUAUGCAUCUAGCAAGUUGUUCAAAAAAAAUUACUGAGCUGAUCAAACCAUAUUUAGAAUAGAAAUUCAAAAAAUGAAAACUGUAUGCUAUGUAGAAUGCACAUAUUUAUAUAUGAGACUCAGAUAGAUUACCUAGACAAGACUGAAUCAAAAUAGGGAGAUUUCAAAACUGUUUCACACCUUUCAGUAUUAUCUAACUAUCCCAAAUAGGCCCCUCUCCCAAAUAUAUCUCAAUUGUAUCCACGUCAUUGACAGACAAAAACAUAAAAGCUCGCCAUCUGAAGUCUUACAUGCAAUUAUAUGAGUCAUGACACAUGCGACAAAUUUGUUCUACACAUUCAUUAACCAGCCAAUCCCUAAAAGGUCAGACAUCGUUCCAAGUCCCAACUUUUAUUCAGCAAAUCACUUCUUAGACACAUAACUUGUUCUCAAUCUCUUCCAAUUCUCGCUUUCAGUUAACUGUUACAUCAUACAAAAAUGCCAUUUUUUUGGCCAAUUCAGCUCACCGCAAUAGACAUAACUAUCAUUGAGUCUAAAAACAAUUGCACAUGAGCUCAAAUUCAGUUUCAGUUUCCUAACUAUUGAAUCUUUUCUAUUUCCAAAACUACAAACUAACUCAAAUAAUCACAUGAGAAACAAUUUCUCCAUGCAACAAACAAAGUUUGCGCUUCCUGUCAUACAUAUUGAACAUAUUAGCCAUGCAUCAGAAUCCAGCCAGCACAUACAUCUAAACAGCCCAGUUCAGAUUCUCUAUGGCCUAUCACUUUUAAUUCAUUCCCAAAAUUCAAAAAAAGAUAUUCAAAAUUUUCCAAUUAUAAAAAGACAAACUUUGCCAUACCACUUUAACAUGUGACGAAGCAAGAAAACAAUAGUCAAACCAGGUAGAAAAAUUACAUAAAAUGCUUCACAAAAUUAAACUUACGGGCAACAUGCAGGCACUAGAUACAUACAAACUACAGGAGGGCCAAAGGAAAAAGGGAAAAAAACAACUACAAAUCAGUAACAAACAAAACCCAUUUCAAUAUACUCAAUUCAAAUCAAAUUCAGAUAACUCUUAAAGAAGUCCAAGUCAAAAUUUGAAGAGGGUCACUAGAAUAACUCAAUCUAGGAACAAUAUAUUUGCAAGAUCCACCGACCCGUAAAAAUUUUUUUUUUUUUUUUGGGAGCAAACCCAUCAAAAUUUUAAGCACUAUAGGAUUAAAAAGUAUGUGGAACAAGAAAUUAUACCAACAACGCUGGAUCCACCUGAGGCACCUAGAGCCAUUGUUGUAGUUGUGGCUUUUGUUGGGGGGUGGCUUUGGGUUUUUGAUGGAAGAUUAGAACCGACCAAAGGUUAAAACGGUGGGCUUAUUCAACACAUGAGCACGAGGGGAACUUAUAGCGGUAUGACGAAAGAAGACCACGAAAUAGAGGAAUAUUUUCUUGUUUGGUAAUUGAAAUAGAGGAAUAUAUAAAAGGGGUAAAUGGAUAGGGAAAGGCAAUAAUUAUUGUACAAGAGUUGAAAAAUUUAUAAUACUUUUAUUUCGUGGAUGCUUUUGGAAAAAUAUUACUAAAAAAAAAAUAUACAUAAUAAUUUUAAUGCACUUUCUUUAUUAAAUUAGAGUACAAGGAUAAAAGACAAAGAAAAGCAACUUUCGUGUAGAAUAAAAAGAAAAGAUAAAAAAGAUGAAUGAAUGAAUGAAUUUAUUUCCUUCUACACUCAUUGCGUUUAUUCUAUAUAUUCACUUAGAUAUUUAAAUAUAGAUAUAUAGAUACUUAGAUCUAUAUUAAGAAUUUAAAAUUGAAUUAAAUUAAUAAUAAAAUAUAAAUUUAAAAUUCAUAGAAUUCAAGUUCUUUGUUAUAAUUAUUAUAAGAUAUUUUUAUUUAUAAAUAAUAAUACUAGGUACAAAUAAUAAAUCGAGACAUCCAUUCUGUGAUAAAUUUUAACUUUAGUGUAUACAGGGUAUAGAUGCAACAAUAUAAUCCAAUUUCAAAAUUGAAAAUUCAUUUUGUGUAUAUAUAGCAUACAUCUACACCUGCUAUUGUAAAAAGUUUUCUAUUACACCAAUAGUGGAUAAAAAAACUUAUUCCUUUAUAGUUAUGAAUACUUUUACACUCUCUUUGUUUUUCUUUUUAUUUUUUGGAUUUUUGCCUUUUUUUUUUUUUGCUUUCUUUUUGGGAAAGAAAUAUCAAAGCUUCUUACUUUUUUCUCAUAAACUAGUUUUUCAUUUUCUAUAAGGGGAAAAAAAAAAGGAGGCGUGGGUUUUUUUUUGUUUUGUUUUAUUUGGCUUCUAAUUUGUAGUAGCUAGAUAGAUUUUGCGCCUAUAGACAAACAUACCAAAUAUUGACAUAAAUAUGAAUUAUUUGCGUGCUCCUGCAUUAACAGCCAUCACUAAUCUUCCCAAUUACCCAAAAAAAAAAAAAAAAAUCUUCCCAUACAUAAAAGGUAAAGAAAUUAACCCUUAGAAAAAUGCUUUUACAUUUGGAACAUUCCAGAACGCUGCAUAGGUCAAAAAUCUCUCUGUUUGGUCUGCAUUAUUGCAAAAAGAAUUUUAUAUCAUUUUUACAAAAGAUUCUUUUAAUUUAGGGAAAAUCGUUCAAAAUAUCACUUUCAUUUUUUAUCAAAUGAAUUUUUUUUUGUCCUUCACUUUUUAAAAUGUUAACUUUGUAUUCUUUACAAGUUUAAGUUAACAAAUUUUGAUCUCAACCUAAGUUUUCAACCAUUUUUAGCCUGAAAUCAUAAUAUUACCCACAUACAAUCAUUUUUUUAUAUACAAAAAAGUCAGAACUCACUUUUUUAAUGAUAAAAUGAAUAUGAAUUGAAUCAGAUCUCACUUCUUUAGGAGAAAAAUGAAUAUGAUUCAGAUAAGAUUCUACUUUUUUGGAGAACAAAAAUGAAUAUGGAUCGAAUCAUUUGUUCUAGUACAACUGACAUUUGAUCUUUUUGUCCUUUCAAAAAAAUCAUGUGCAGUCAUGUGAUGGAUUCAGUGUAAAAAAGUGAUAAAAAAUUUAGAUUAUGACCAAGUUUUACCAAUUUGAUUUUAUAAAGGACAUAAAAUUACUAUUUUAGAAGUAAAUGAUGAAAAAAUUCAUUUGAUAAAUAUGAAGAAAAUUUGAACGAUUUUCCCUCUAAUUUAUUCUCCAACCACUUUUUGAAUACAGUGUUACAUUAAUUUUUUUUAUUAAAAAGUGAAGUUUAAAAUGGUUAUCAUUAAACUCUAUCCUAAUAAGGUGGUGAUGAGAAGCUAGGAUAGUGAAAACUCACAAUUGCCAGAGGUUUUCGCUAUCAAAUUGUCAUUUUCAAGGGGAGUGGACGUGACAUAUUGAGAGAACGAAGAUAGGAUAAGAAAGUAGGCAACAACAUUGUCCAUGGGACAAGGGUCAGUAACCUUAUGAUCAUCAAAUUUUGGAUUGUUUGUACUUGGUGAUAUUUUGAUCCAAAAUACCUGCUGAACUGUUAGAAGAUAGGCAUUAGUCUUCAGAUAUACCAAAAUUGGAUAUUUCUUUAGAAUAUAAACGAAAGGGUCGGCAGAUCAAGAACUGUUGAUAUAACAAAUAAAAUUGAUGAAUCUAAUAUCACAUGCUUUACUCCCUCUCAAUUUUUCCUAAUUUAGUGCUGCAAAAAUGAAGUUAGUGGCUGCAGACAACAGUUUCAAGUUGAUCAGAACUUAAAAAGAUUGAGGACAAUUGAAAGGGCUGCACCCCAGCACCCGGGAAAUGGGAAAGAAUUGCCAGAUUUCAAAGGAGAUCAUGAGGAAUUUGAAGUUCUUCCUCUCACAUUCCAUCCUCAUGUAGCAAUUACAAAACAUAACUUCCUAAUUUGCCCACAAAACAACAGUGAUGCAUCCAACAGUCUUGAAAGAAUCACCAAUCUCAUGUUCAUGCAUUCUAAAGUACCUAAUUUGUUCUGAUGAUUCAGGGUUUGCUGUCAAAGCGAAUAGGAAAUUUCGCAAGGACAAGGAUGAUGCCAUCUUGAUG